ACAGCCGCCACCCGACCGGCCUCCUCCUUCCUAUGGAUCUCCUCUUGAUCCCCAUCCAUCCAACCGCAGUCGCCACCCGACCGGCCUCCUCCUUCCUAGGGAUCUCCUCUUGAUCCCCAUCCAUCCAACCGCAGCCGCCGACCACCUCACAUGUUCUACGCGCCUCUCCAAUCCCAGUGCGCUCCACCUUGCAGCCAGCACAACCCACUUCUCUCCUUGGAUACACCCAACCACCCCAUGCGCCCGCGUCCAGUGCCCGGAAGGUUAGCUGCAUCCACACCUCCCCUCACGCCCAUUCUACUCCAUGCGCGCCACCAGAGCCCUGAGCCAACCUCGUCACCGUUCAUCACCAACUCGGGAGAAUACUAGCAUAUGAGCAACAUCGGCCCCUGCACUCUUGCUGCACCUCCUUACGCUCUUUAUCUCCCUCUCCCCUAACUUCUCUUUCCUUUUCAUGGUCCAAUAAUAGCAGGAAUCCAAUGGACACCUUCAGCAGGAGCUCUCCACCAUGAUCGCCCAAAUUUUUCCCUCUGCCUUCCAUUCCUCGCUACGAACCGGAGCUCCGGUGAGCGGUCGUUAGAAUUCAACUAGGACUCCGUCAUGAGCGACCAAAAGGAAUAUCCGUGACCACGAAGCCGAGCUCCCCAUGACGAGCAUCACACUUUAUCUAGUCGGGAGACACCAUUCCCAUACGUUCCCGAUGCCCACGUUGCUGGCCUCGUCUUGCUGUCAAUCCGCGCCGCUACAUCCAUCCACUAUGCCGAUGGGUUGCUUGAGCCUCUCCCAAAUCGAGCAAGUGAGGAGAUCCCUCACAUUGAUUGCGCCACCCCAGCAAGGAUUUUCUUCUCCUUGCUAGUGUUUUGAAAGUCUUUGAGAGUGUGAGGAUUUGUUCAAUUAUGACCGUUUGUCUACUUCACGGACUCGUUCAUCUUCCAAGCGGGAUUCCACACAAGAUGAUCAUUACCUUGGAUAUCACUACUAUCUUUGCUAUGGUAGUUGUCUUGAUACUAUUGCUAUCUCUUGCUACCGACCAUGCAUUUUCAAGCCUCCCAAAAUGCCAUGAUAAGCCUCUAAUCAUCCAUCGUCCUAGCAAACCAUUGUGUGGCUAAGUUACCGCUUGCUCAACCCGCUUAUAGCAUUUCUAGUUGUAGGUGUAGUUUAUUCUAUGACAUGGAUAUUAUGGGAUAUCACACUAUCUGUUUAUUUAAUUAACACAUCUAUACACUUGGUAAAUGUUGGAAGGCUUGGCCUGUUGCCUCGCGUCUUGUUCCACUCUUGUCGCCCUAGUUUCCAUUAUACCAGUGUCAUGUGCUACUUGUAAACUGCAUUAGGAUUUUCGCCGAAAUGAAGGGGAGACGCAAAAUAGUAGAGAUAAGUAUUCCCCUCAGUGAAACCAAGGUUAUCAAACCAAUGGGAGAACCAUGCAAAUUCCCGUCUUGAGUGCCUACACACA